rnacentral:rRNA from 1 species
UAUUGGACAAUGGGCGAAAGCCUGAUCCAGCCAUGCCGCGUGUGUGAAGAAGGUCUUCGGAUUGUAAAGCACUUUAAGUUGGGAGGAAGGGCAGUUACCUAAUACGUGAUUGUUUUGACGUUACCGACAGAAUAAGCACCGGCUAACUCUGUGCCAGCAGCCGCGGUAAUACAGAGGGUGCAAGCGUUAAUCGGAAUUACUGGGCGUAAAGCGCGCGUAGGUGGUUUGUUAAGUUGGAUGUGAAAUCCCCGGGCUCAACCUGGGAACUGCAUUCAAAACUGACUGACUAGAGUAUGGUAGAGGGUGGUGGAAUUUCCUGUGUAGCGGUGAAAUGCGUAGAUAUAGGAAGGAACACCAGUGGCGAAGGCGACCACCUGGACUAAUACUGACACUGAGUGCGAA